AUGCAGUUGGUACGGUCGGGGAAAACUGCGAUUAACAUUAACGGUGAUGUGGGGCCAUUCUUCUCAUCCUCUGCGGAAGUGAAGCAAGGGGAUCCGAUAUCCCCCCUGCUCUUCAAUCUCGCCGUCGACGCUCUGGCAGGCAUUCUGGACAGAGCUAGGCGGGCCGGCCACCUCUCGGGAGUUGUUAGUCACCUCAUUCCGGGAGGAGGGGUCACUCAUCUUGUUGGAGAUAUGCCCUAG
rnacentral:rRNA from 1 species